UGCUUCUCGCCAGAGGAGAGCUCUGCAUGACCGACUAUCGCAUGACAGUCACUCACGGUGUCACCUAGUGGCGACGUGUGGAAUUGAGCGGCAGCCUUGUUGGUGGCAUGUAGCAAUGCCUGGUUCCCGCUCGGUCGCUACACAGGCCGAGCGGUGCUGACCUGCGAGGGCCUACAAUGCUGCUUGCAGCUUUAAUUAUAUAUGUUUCUGCAGAUGCAGAGGCAAUCUUCUAGGGCAUUAUUUUGUAUUCUCUCCACCCAUCUUUCUCUGCCUUUUGUUAUUUUCUACUUUUCCCCCUUUUUCCUUUUUGCCUGACCUCUCUCUCUUUGUUGUUUCUUUUUUUUUCCUUUUCAAGCGGAGCAUUAUAGGAUUAGCCAUAAUGCUUUACUUGUGAAAGUAAAUCUGUUGGGCUUCUUCUUGGCACUCAAACAGCAGUUGCAGUGCUACUCUGCUGGACAGGACAUGUAAUGAAAACAAAAAAAAGAAAUGAGGGUGCGUUUGUGUGUGUGACUAGACGUAUGGUUGAAAUAUUAACAUGAGAUGUUUAAAAGUCUUAUUGCUGUUGGGGUGAAGGUUCUCCUGAGCCAACUGUUGCGAGCACUGGUUUGACUCUCCAGGAUGCAAUGGAAAGGGUUCAGAAUGACAUAAUACCACAAAUCUGAGAAGGUCCAGCCUCAUCCCAGCAUUGAGCUGGCCUAUUGGCCGCAUGAACCAGGAAUGAAAAAAAAUUUUCUUCCACAUAAUAUAAACUACACAGCAAACUGUUGUGAACCCAGCCAUGAAUAAAAAAAAAACGUGUAGCAGGAUGAAUUAAGCCUGCUCUCAAUGAUUGAGGACACCUGGAUUGUUUCCAAUUAGCUGCCAACAGGGGUGCUGUAAGGAGGCUUUUUUUCACCUGGCUCUCGUUUAAUCCACCUUAUCUGUGAAUUUAGAAAGAACUGCUUGGUGGGUUGUAGUACUAACUUCUCCUUCCCCUGGUGAUUAUAGCAUGUAAGACAGGGUUUGUAUUGUGCUCAUUAUCAAGAUUUCUGUAUGAAAUCACUGGCAAGUUGAUCCUCCUGUUGCUGUUUGGCCAGAAAGCGCUCACUGGUUCAGGUGGAGUAAUUCAGAGGGCCUGGCAGGUGGUGAGCUGAAAGUGGUGAAGGGCUUUCAGGGGGACUGGUCUUUUGUGCUGUGCAAAUGUUUAGGAACCAGUCUUCCCAGUUCGGACAGCCCUCCCCUGCUGGUAGGCCUCAGUCUGGCAAAUUUCCCCUCUCCUUUCCAGUGUGGUUGGAUUUGGUUUUAAAUGUCUUUUAAAGAGAACUAGAAACAAAUGCAAUUCUUUUGUGGAACCACGUCUCUCUCAUUGGUGUACAAACCAGAGUGCCUUACUGGUGCUGUAACUGUCUCCUUGGGUGCAAUUCCCAAGGUGGUAUUGUUGACCCUGAUCAUAGUGGGGCAAGUGAAUUUAAAGGGCUAGUUUAUAUGGCUAGUUAUUUGUUCUGUUGUGUUUUGUAGUUGAUAUAAACUUGUUUUAAUGAGUGUUUUAAACACAGAUCAGCCAAUGCUCAUAUGCAUCUUAAUCUUUGUAUUAAUGGUAUUUCAAGUACAUGUGAACUAAGCAGGGUUGGUAAAUAAGUUACUUUCCUUUGUUAACCAAAACUGCUAAUGAUGGCAUAAAGUAAAAUGUUCAUAUAUGACUGGUCGCCAUCAUAUAAGAGACAGACAUUUCUCUCCAUUUUAGUAGUCUAUUAUUCCAUGUGUUGCAUAGUUAAAACAAAAGGUUGAUUUCUAAUUUAGCAAAUAGUUUCAAAUAUUUAAUUAAAAUAUUUUAUCGGCUCUUCUGAUUUUGCAUUGUGGACAGUUGUUUGAAGACAUGCCAAUUACUGUUAAGUUCUAAGACAAAUGUGACUAAUUUAUUUGAGAACUAACUUGUAAAACUGAUUUGUUGUCAUUUCUAAAUUCCUCAAGAUAAACUUUGGUUCUCAAACAUAGAUAACAUUGAAUGGUAAUUUUGCAUUAUUGGUUAUGGUUUUUAACCCUUUUUUCUUUAUUUGUUUAUUUUUCAUGAGUUUUCUAUUCACUAGUACCUGUGCUCAACUCAUUCUUUCAUCUAUUGUCCUGGAAAUACCACCUCCAUAUUGGGGUGGUAUUUCCAGGACAAUAAUUGACUGAUCAAGGCAUCAUGAUGGAACAACAAAACAAAUGUAACCUUACUUUAAAUAUGUACUUUACUUUUUUGAGGGGGAUUGUAGCCUCUCUCAGAGCCUUUAGCUGAUGCAGAACCUUUAUCAGCUGCGACCAAA